rnacentral:rRNA from 1 species
UACCGGCAGCUCAAGUGGUAGCCGCGAUUAUUGGGCCUAAAGCGUUCGUAGCCGGAUAAGUAAGUCUUUGGUUAAAUCCUGCAACUCAACUGUGGGAAAUCUAGGGAUACUGCUUGUCUUGAGACCGGGAGAGGUUAGAGGUACUCCUAGGGUAGGGGUGAAAUCCUGUAAUCCUAGGGGGACCACCUGUGGCGAAGGCGUCUAACUGGAACGGGUCUGACGGUGAGGGACGAAACCUAGGGGAGCGAGC